rnacentral:rRNA from 1 species
ACUCCUAGGGAGGCAGCAGUGAGGAAUAUUGCACAAUGGGGGGAACCCUGAUGCAGCAACGCCGCGUGGAGGAUGACGCAUUUCGGUGUGUAAACUCCUUUUAUCAGAGAAGAAGAUGACGGUAUCUGAUGAAUAAGCUCCGGCUAACUCCGUGCCAGCAGCCGCGGUAAUACGGAGGGAGCAAGCGUUAUUCGGAAUCACUGGGCGUAAAGGACGCGUAGGCGGGUUUGUAAGUCAGGUGUGAAAUCCUACAGCUCAACUGUAGAACGGCACUUGAAACUACAGACCUAGAGUAUGGAAGGGGCAGAUGGAAUUAGUGGUGUAGGGGUAAAAUCCGUAGAUAUCACUAGGAAUACCGAAAGCGAAGGCGAUCUGCUGGGACAUUACUGACGCUGAGGCGUGAAAGCGUGGGGAGCAAACAGGAUUAGAUACCCUGGUAGUCCACGCCCUAAACGAUGAACACUAGUCGUCGGGGUACAAGUUACUUCGGUGAUGCACUUAACAGAUUAAGUGUUCCGCCUGGGGAGUACGGUCGCAAGAUUAAAACUCAAAGGAAUAGACGGGGACCCGCACAAGUGGUGGAGCAUGUGGUUUAAUUCGAAGAUACGCGAAGAACCUUACCUAGCCUUGACAUUGAGAGAAUUCGGUAGAGAUACUGAAGUGCCAGUUUACUGGAGCUUGAAAACAGGUGCUGCACGGCUGUCGUCAGCUCGUGUCGUGAGAUGUUGGGUUAAGUCCCGCAACGAGCGCAACCCUCGUCCUUAGUUGCCAGCAGUUCGGCUGGGCACUCUAAGGAGACUGCCUUCGCAAGGAGGAGGAAGGUGAGGACGACGUCAAGUCAUCAUGGCCCUUACGGCUAGGGCUACACACGUGCUACAAUGGGGCGUACAGAGAGUUGCGAUACCGCGAGGUGGAGCUAAUCUCAUAAAGCGUCUCUCA